rnacentral:rRNA from 1 species
AUUGAACGCUGGCGGCAGGCCUAACACAUGCACGUCGAACGAGUGGCGGACGGGUGAGUAAUGUCUGGGAAACUGCCCGAUGGAGGGGGAUAACUACUGGAAACGGUAGCUAAUACCGCCUACCAUCGGAUGUGCCCAGAUGGGAUUAGCUAGUAGGUGGGGUAACGGCUCACCUAGGCGACGAUCCAUAGCUGGUCUGAGAGGAUGACCAGCGACACUGUAACUGUGACACGGUCCAAACUCCUACGCGAGGCAGCAGGUGGGAAGUUUGAAAAAUGGGCGCAAGCCUGAUGCAGCCAUGCCGCGGGUAUGAAGAAGGCCUUCGGGUUGUAAAGUACUUUCAGCGAGGAGGCGUUACUCGCAGAAGAAGCACCGGCUAACUCCGUGCCAGCAGCCGCGGUAAUUC